CCCCGGUUUCAGUAGCAUAUGCUUGUUUCAAAGAAUAAACUAUGCACGUUUAAGUACACACAGCCGGUACAGUGAAACUGCAAAUGGCUCAUUAAAUCAGUUAUGGUUCCUUUGAUCGCAGCAUCUGUUAAUUGGUAACUGUGGUAAUUCUAGAGCUAAUACAUGCCGAUGAGCACAGACUUCACGGGAUGUAUGCAUUUAUCAGAUCAAGACCAAUCCGAGGCCGAUGGCAUGUCCCGUGACGGCGACGAUGCAUUUGGAUGUCUGCCCUAUCACCUUUCGAUGGUACUUUCGGUGCCUACCAUGGUGACCACGGGUAAUGGGGAAUCAGGGUUUGAUUACGGAGAGGGAGCCUGAGAAAUGGCUACCACAUCCAAGGAAGGCAGCAGGCGCGCAAAUUAGCCACUACCGACUCUGGGAGGUAGUGACGAAAAAUAACAAUACAGGACUCUUUCGAGGCACUGUAAUUGGAAUGAGUACACUUUAAAUCCUUUAACGAGUACCCAUUGGAGGGCAAGUGUGGUGCCAGCAGCCGCGGUAAUUCCAGCUCCAAUAGCGUAUAUUAAAGUUGCUGCAGUUAAAAAGCUCGUAGUUGGAUCUUGGGAUUGAGCUGGCGGUACGCCGCGAAGCGAGUCCCUACCUCUCGGCACCCCCUUGAUGCUCUUGACUGAGUGUCCUGGGUGUUCGAAGCGUUUACUUUGAAAAGGCGUGUUCAAAGCAGGCCGGUCACCUGAAUACUUCAGCUAGGAAUAAUGGAAUAGGACUCCGGUUCUAUUUUGUUGGUUUUCGGAACUGGGGCCAUGAUUAAGAGGGACAGCUGGGGCAUUUUGUAUUGUGCCGCUGCAGGUGAAAUUCCUGGACCGGGGCAAGACGAACCAAAGCAAAAGCAUUACUCAGGAAUGUUUUCAUUAAUCAAGAAGUCUGAGGUUCAAAGACGAUCCAAUACUGUCGUAGUUCCGACCAUAAACAAUGCCGACUAGCGAUCUGGCAGCAUUAUUCCCAUGACCCGCCAAGCAGCUUUCGGGAAACCAAAGUAUUUGAAUUCCGGGGGAGUAUGGUUGCAAAGCUGAAACUUAAAGGAAUUGAAGGAAGGGCACCACCAGGAGUGGAGCCUGCAGCUUAAUUUGACUCAACACAGGAAACUUCACCCAGCCCUGACACGGAAAGUAUUGACAAAUUGAUAGCUCUUUCUCGAUUCUGUGGGUGGUGGUGCAUGGGCAUUCUUAGUUGGAGGAGCGAUGUGUCUGGUUAAUUCCGAUAAUGAACGAGACUCCUUCAUGCUAACUAGUUAAGCGACCCCCCCAGCGGUCGGUGUUCAGCUUCUUAGAGGGACAAGUGGCGUUCAGCCACACAAGAUCGAGCAAUAACAGGUCUGUGAUGCCCUUAGGUGUCUGGGGCUGCACGCGCUACACUGAAUGGAUCAGCGUGUGUCUACCCUUCGCGGACAGGUGCUGCUAACCCGCUGAACCCUGUUCAUGCUAGGGAUUGGGGAUUGCAAUUAUUUCCCAUGAAUGAGCAAUUCCCAGUAAGUGCGGGUCAUAAGCUUGCGUUGAUUAAGUUGCUGUCCUUUGUACACACCGCCCGUCGCUACUAACGAUUGGAUGGUUUAGUGAGGUCCUCGGAACGACUCUGCUCAGGUCGGCAACAGCCCUGGCAGAGCGGCGAGAAGACAAUCAAACUUGACUGUCUAGAGAAGUAAAAGUCGUACGGGUUGGGUCUACCUGCAGGGGACGUCC
rnacentral:rRNA from 1 species